rnacentral:lncRNA from 1 species
GCUGUGUAAAUACUGAUUGUAAUGUAUUUCACAGGUGGUUAACCUGUGAAAUGUGGGAAGCCCAAAUUCAGUGUGAAACAGAUGUACAUGGAGAAAAAGGAAAUAUAUAGCAUCUUAUAAAAAGGCAUCCUGACGUCGUAUCAUGAGAGAGAAAACGUACAGAGUAGUAGCUACCUGUUUCCACCUUAUCUUGCUUCCUUGGUUUUCCUUACGUCUGCGCACCUACAUGUAGGGACCGCUUUUUGAGCCCAUGAUGUCUGUACAAGCAUAACAAGUAUGUAAUAAAAUAGAUUUGCUUACUCUAGAAUAUUUUCA